rnacentral:lncRNA from 1 species
GGCAAGGUGGCUUGGCAGGUAAAGGCUCUUGCCAUGAAAGGUUGACGGCCUUCGAGCGAGAGUUCAAUCCCCGGAACCGCCAUGAAAAUGGAUAGAGUUGACUCCACAAAGCCGUCCUCUGACCCCUGCAGCGGCUUCACCACACACAUUGUUUCUGGAGAAGUGGUGUGCACACUUAGGUGCUAGAGGCAGGAGGAUUGCCCCAAGUUUGAGGCCACCCUGGCCUGCACAAUGAGUUCCAGGCGAGCCAGAGACACUGGCUCCAAAUAAACAAACAAGUGAACAAAGAAACAAAACUCAACACGGGCCCACUGAGGAGGAUCAGCAGUAUAGCUGACUUCCCGCCCGUCUGAUCUCGAGACAGAAGGAAAACAACAGUGUAUUCUGUGCUUGGAUCCUGCACACAUUUGGUUUUCCAUGGCCUCCCUCAUGGGCUAGGACCUACCAUCUUGGCUGGAAGAUAGAGUCUCACAAUACGGCUCUGGCUGGCCCAGAACUCUCUAUGUAAACCAGACCAGCUGGCCUCAAGUUCACAGAAAUGUCUCCAUCUCGAAGUGCUGGGAUUAAAGGUAUGCGCC